UGUAAGCGUAUGCCAAAGUUGUUGCAGUUAAAACGCUCGUAGUCGGACUUUGGCAGUUCCGGAUGUGUGCACGUCGUGUGCGCACUUCGCGGGGAUUGCUUUUGUGGUCUUGCGUAGGAUGAGGCACUUUUAUUAGUGAACGUCCUCACGCAACCACUUUUUACUGUGAGAAAAUCAGAGUGCUCAAAGCAGGCAUUUGCCGUGAAUGUAUUAGCAUGGAAUAAUAGAAUAGGACUUGGUUCUAUUUUGUUGGUUUGUUGGGACUGAGUAAUGAUUAAGAGGGACAGUUGGGGGCAUUUGUAUUUCGGUGCUAGAGGUGAAAUUCUUAGAUUACCGAAAGACAAACUGCUGCGAAAGCGUCUGCCAAGGAUGUUUUCAUUGA
rnacentral:rRNA from 1 species